rnacentral:lncRNA from 1 species
UAGGCAUUAGAUAGUGCAUUAGGCUGAAAAGGCCUUUCUUCAUUUCCCCAGCAUACUGUGUGCCAAGGAUGACCAUUUCCUUCCUAGCAAGAUUGACGUCUAUGCUAGUGGAGGAAGUCAUAUAGUGGGUGUAACGGUUACAUGGGAAUUGACCAGCAUUGUAUAUUGUGAAGUCCGGAGUACCAAAUUCCUCCAGCUCUUCAGCAGUGGGUCGGAUACACCUGUCACCGACCCCGUUAUUCCAUUGUACUCACUAACAUGUUUUAAUUUACAUCUUUUGUAUUCCUUUUAUUAACUAUGGCUAACUCUUUACUGGUUGUAAAAUCUUAAGACAGAUAAUAUGCAUUUGUAAAAGUAGAGGAUACUUAUCUGGUGACCUGUAACACACAAGAAUGUAAAAACAGACAGUUUUAAAAUGAAUAUUGAUCAGUUGCUUACAUGUUGUGCAUGAACAAGGAGUGAUAGGCUCUGGCAGAUACAAUUCUAACUUUGAUACGAUUGUUUGGAUCC